GAAGCAAGCGUCUUCGACGCUUACGUGCUUCCCAAGCUCUAUGUCAAGCUGCACUACUGCGUGAGCUGUGCCAUUCAUAGCAAGGUUGUCAGGAAUCGAUCUCGUGAGGCCCGGAAGGACCGAACACCCCCACCACGAUUCAGACCUGCUGGCGCUGCACCACGACCUCCACCAAAGCCCAUGUAAAGAGCUCCCAGGACCUCCAUCCAGCCCAGGGUCCUUCCUGCAUCAACCUUCAACUUCAAACAAUGCACUGCAGGCCAAUCUGGUGGGGGCGUUUUCUCCAGUGAAGUUCCCUCUUCCCAGUGACUCCAGCUUGUGUCAGAGCUGAGGACCGAACUCAGGGCCUUGUGUUUGCUAGACAAGUGCUCUACCACUGAGCUAAAUCCCCAACCCUGUAAUUGUCAUCUUGAAGGCUUACUGAUGAAUAAACACACUCCUUCC
rnacentral:lncRNA from 1 species